rnacentral:rRNA from 1 species
GACGAACGCUGGCGGCGUGCUUAACACAUGCAAGUCGAACGGAAAGGCCCUGCUUUUGUGGGGUGCUCGAGUGGCGAACGGGUGAGUAACACGUGAGUAACCUGCCCUUGACUUUGGGAUAACUUCAGGAAACUGGGGCUAAUACCGGAUAGGAGCUCCUGCUGCAUGGUGGGGGUUGAAAGUUUCGGCGGUUGGGGAUGGACUCGCGGCUUAUCAGCUUGUUGGUGGGGUAGUGGCUUACCAAGGCUUUGACGGGUAGCCGGCCUGAGAGGGUGACCGGCCACAUUGGGACUGAGAGACGGCCCAGACUCCUACGGGAGGCAGCAGUGGGGAAUAUUGCACAAUGGGCGGAAGCCUGAUGCAGCAACGCCGCGUGCGGGAUGACGGCCUUCGGGUUGUAAACCGCUUUCGCCUGUGACGAAGCGUGAGUGACGGUAAUGGGUAAAGAAGCACCGGCUAACUACGUG